GCCUCUAUAGCGCAGUAGUCAGCGCGCGAGUCUCAAAAUGUCGACGUUGUGAGUUCGAACCUCACUCGGGGCA
rnacentral:tRNA from 1 species